AUGGUUGUGGCUGAUGGGGCAGGGCCUCUGCCCUGGUGCUGGGUUCACCUGCUGCGUCUCCCCAGAGGGCCCUGGGGAGCAGACUGGGUUUGUGUGCAUCGCCGAGGCCCAGCCCUGCCGGGCUCCCUGGGCCGGGUUCGAGACGAGAUGCCGGCAAGCAGCACAGCCCUUCUGGAUGGCAACUGCAAGGAGCGGCUGGACUGUGCUGGAGGCGGCCCCCGGCCCCCGGCCUCCGGCCCCGUCCAGGCGCCGGCUUCAGAGGCCCGUGCUGCCUUUGAUUUUAGGAGGUUAAGGAGGUUAAACGAGGUGGGUGUCCCCUGCCUUAACAUUGAGGGAGGAGAGUCAAGCCGCUCUCGAUCCAGUGGGACUGGCCGUCUCUCAGAAGCUCCACAGCGCGGGGGGCAGGUGGGGUCCUCGCUGCGCCGCCUCAGCACGCCGAUCCCAGCUCUUGGUGCCCGAUGCUUCCUCCCCUCACUGGAAUGUGCAGGUCCCUCCGAAGUUGUGUAAGUUGUGUAGUCGUCACCCGUGUUCGUUACGGGGCCCAAGCUGAGAACUGGUCUUGUGUCCGCGGGACCCGUUUCUGGAGCACAGCCUGGCUCCCCAGGCUCCUGCCGACGCAUCCCCGGGCAUUUGGUGCAGAGGCGAGCUGGGCUCUCUCUCUGAGGGACCUGCACCCCAGGAAGCUCAGGGAGAGUGCAGGGCCCUGAGGGCUGGAGUCAGCAUCUCUGCUGUGUCGUCUCAGGGUCCCUCCUCCUGAAAGGAGGACACCUCAGGGUGCUGUGACACCAGGAUGGGACACGUCCUGCAGAUGUGCUUUCACACGUGGCCACACUUGAACCUCGUUGUUGGGUUUCAUUCUCAUGUUAAAGAUGAGAUCACACGAAGCUCAAAGAAGUGGAAGGACCCCUCUCCCCCACCAAGUGCACCUGCUGACCGUGGAGGCAGCGUGGGGUUGCCGUGGCGGUGGCUCAGCGUGAGCUCCAUGGUGGCCGUGGUCUGAGCUGUUGCCUGGCGGCACGUUGGUUCUGGGGAAGGUUUUGUUCAGAGAACCGCCAGCCCUGGGGACACCCCUUCCACGCUUGUUGUCCCAGCCCCAUCACAGCCGUGGGUCACUGGCGGUGAGGGCUGCCCUGAGGGUGACAGUGGGCGCCUGUGGUCGGGAGCUGAGAGGAAAGGGGGGUUUCUGUCCAGAAGCGGGCACCGGCUGAUCUGGUUUUAAAAGGGGCUAUUGCUGAGCCUUGAGGCUGCUUAUUCCACCACCUGCCUGCUGGGCGGGCGCCAUCUGCUCCAGGGAAGGGCGUCUCCCAGGGACAGGCUCUGUGGAGCCCGGCUGGUGCUCCUGGUGCCAGACACGAUGGGGGGACCUCGGACACGUUGCUGUGUGAUGGGUCCUGGAGGCCACGGGGUCUUGGACUCAUCGCUGAGACUUGGGGUCCGAGCUGGGCAGCCACGCCCUCAUUUCUGCUGUCCCCAGCGUCUGGGGGCCGCAGCAUCUGCCCGUCGCCCACCUGUCGUCCUGGCACUCCAGGCUGUGCUGGCGUCGCGCUGAGCGCGGGGUGUGGGCUGCUGAUGUUCUGGCUCCUCUCACCCUGAAGGCAGAGCCCCCUCUGCUUUGGACCUACCUGCCCUUGAGGCCCAAGGGGGAGUCUCGAGGGCAGCAGUUCAGCUCCUGGGUUGGGGACGUGUGACAGCCAUUUGGGGCCUUUAUAGACCUCUGCACCUGUGUCCUGGGACAGGCCGUUCUCGGCUGCAGCGUUGCUGGAGCCCAUGCAGGUCCGGGUGUCGGCUGGGCCGCCUGCUCCUCUUGGCGCUGCUCCUCGCUCAGAGCUGUGGGCACGGUGGGCAGCGCGCGUCCAGACUCUCACGCUCCGUCCGCAGCGCGGGUCAGCCUGGGCAGCCGUGGGCUUCCCUGGCUGCCCCGCGGGAGCUGGGCCCCAGCGGGAGCCGCGGGAGGGGGGCACGGAGGUGAUGGGAGGUGAUGGCGGUGACUGUUCCUGUGAAGUCUGCAGUGGGGUGCUCCGAGACAGACUCCAGUGGCCGAAUGUCACCUGCAGCUGGUGGCACUUCUGAGGAUGGCAGCCUCCCUUUCUGAGAGCCCGCCAGCAUCUGGUGUCGCUCUGAGUGCUGGGAUGAGCGCCGGGGCCUCCUUGCCGAAAAUAACCUUGUUUGGAUAAGGUUUUCCAUGUCCACCUAACCUUCUCUUUCCCAAAUCCUUCCCCUGCUGGAGUUUGACGGGGAACCUUGUGGGGUCCGUGACACGGUGCUGCUGCUCCAGACCCCAGGCCUUUGGAGCUCGUGACAUUGCCUGGGGCUGGGGCACAGAGGUCACAGCGUCCCCAGGAUGACCCCGCGGGACAGCCGGGAGCCCAGCUGAGUGUCCCCUGUAGCUUCUCAAGGGUUCACCUUGGGGGCCAAGUGCCAGGGCCUGGCUCUCAAUCCCUCUCUCUCUGGUCGGGGCUGUGGGGAGGGGGCUUCAGGGGGCAAGGUCUGCCGUUGGGGGGUGCUUAGGAUUUGCCCGGAGGAGGGGGCACGGGGCUGCACUUGCUGGGAAGAGCCGGCCCAGGUCAGCAUGAGAUGCUCCGCCCUGGGUGGUGGCUCUGCUGCUCACGGGCGGGGGCGGUGCUGGCCGGCGGUCAGACCUCCUGCUGACCCCAGGUGUCCCCUCCAUCACCUGGUAGCCUUAAACCUGAGUGUGUCCCAGGCUCGCAUCUGGGGUUUGUUCUCAGAACAGAGAGCUGAACACCUUAGCGGCCGUUCCACCUUGUAAAGACUGCAGACUCACACAGAGCCGAGGCUCUGAAGGCAGGGGUCGGGGUGGAGGAGCUUCCAAAGAGCUGACCUCCCAGGGUGACAGCACGGCUGGGGGUGGCAUGCUGGGGGACACGGGUCCUGUGGUGGCUUCCUUGCCCUGGGCGCUGGCACCGCUGAAGACCACCACACAGAAGAGCAGGGGACCUUGGUUGCACCUUGAGCGAGGCGACACUCCCAGUGGCUGCCCCGGCUGGGGAGGUAAGUCUGUGGCUGUGGCCGCACACGCGGGACGGCUGCACGUGCCGCACGGGGACGGUGUCCUGAGCGGAGGUCAGGGAGCGGCCCCUCUUCGCUCGAGGGCUGGCGGCCGCCUGGGUUCUGAGUUGGCCUGAGGUGUGGGACUUGGGUUAAAGGUAUGAUGUGGGCCAGCACCUGGGCCACGCGGCUUCCCCGACGGCUGGCGGGCGUGCUUCCGCCCUGGCCUCCCUUGUCCAGGUGUGGCCAGGCUGAGCUGGGGCUGCACAGUGCUGGGGGCCUGGGUGCCUGGGUGCCCGGCUGCGGCGUCGCCUCCUCCCACUUUCCGUGUCGAGUGCACACCGUGAGGGCGCGGAAGGGCUCCGUGUCUUUGGGCUUGUGUUGUGCAUGCCGGGCGUUAGACCUUGUGGCCCAGGGGCGGGCCGCCCCUCUCCGUGUACCUGCCUUCACGCCCCUUCCCCUGCAGACGCAUUACCUGUGAGGACGCAUGCAGUUGGCGCCUGACGGAUGAUUCCUCCUGGCAGCAGCCGUGGGGCCCGAGGCCUGGACACCCCCCAGGCCCUGCUCAGUGGGCCGGGUGCCGGUGGUGGUUGGACUCGGGACUGGCGGUGGGGGGACUAAGGGGCAUCCGCCGUGGUCACAGCCAAGGCCUCAUGCUGACCAUCGGGUCCCCCUCGUGGCCGGGAGCCCUGCUCCACGGGGAGCGGCCUUCCUCCUCCGAGGGGUCGGCACAGAAGGCCAUGCUCAGCUCAGCGGGCCCCAGGGCGCAGGGGGUGGGUGCCCGGCAGGUGGGGGCCUCAGGGGACAGAGCCUCUCCUGGGAGUGGUGACGGAACUUGGAAAGCCUUUAAAAUGUAGGCCCGGGUUCCUGGGAACCAGCUUUUCCGUGGGUGUUGGGGGCUGAGUGCUAGGCCUGUGAGCGGUGCCGUGUGCCGUCGGGGCCGGUGCGUGGGUUCUGAAGUCGUGCAGGUGCGGUGGGCGCGGCCCCGUCCCCUUCCUGGCACUGAGCCUGGCCCUCGGGUGCCGGCAAGCACUAUACACGCUGUACAGCUCCAGGGGGCAGGUCUCCUGCAGGAACGGGCUGGUCUCAGCAGGGAGGCUGGGGAGGCCAGGGCUGCGCCUGGCUGGACGCCGCCCCCGGAGCAGACAAGACCCCCCCGGUGCUUCCACCUGGGUGCAGUCACUGCUCCCGGCACACGGGCAGUUUCCGGGCUGUGACUGGGCUUCUGGCAGAGCCUGUCCCUUUCUGCCGCUGGUGUGACGUGAGCACAGCUCUUCAGAGGGUGAAGCUUGCAGUCAUCCGGGGAUGUUAGCACUUGUUUCUCGCUUUAUUCCUCGUGUCCCCCUUGAAGUGCACAACUUGUUUUUCCAAAAGUCAGUAGAGAACAGACGAGAGCAAUGAGGGCCGUUCUUGGCUGCGCCUGGCGACAGACACAGAGCGGGUGGGGAGGUGGGGCUGGUAGCUGCCACCCCCUUGCAGCAGACUCACUUCUGCAUUGGGGUGGGGGGGAGGUGACAUCUCAUGCAGGUGCCUCGAGCGCAGCUGCCCGGGGCGCGCGCCCUUUCCUUCCGGGGUGGCGCCGUUGCGCUGACCCGGACGGUGGACUUGUCACAUGUGGUCCACCAGGACGCCCUCAGCCCUGGGAGAGAUCUUGAGCCUUUAGGACCUGCCGACCGGCCCUGGGGCCGGACGAGGAGCGGCUGGGGUCACCC
rnacentral:lncRNA from 1 species